ACGAACGCUGGCGGCAUGCCUAACACAUGCAAGUCGAACGCAAGGCUUCGGCCUUGAGUGGCGCACGGGUGAGUAGCGCGUGGGAACCUGCCCUGGAGUGGGGGAUAACCGAGGGAAACUUCGGCUAAUACCGCAUGCGCCCGGAGCAAUCCGGGGAAAGAUUUAUCGCUCUAGGAGGGGCCCGCGUCGGAUUAGCUAGUUGGUGGGGUAACGGCCUACCAAGGCGAUGAUCCGUAGCUGGUCUGAGAGGAUGAUCAGCCACACUGGGACUGAGACACGGCCCAGACUCCUACGGGAGGCAGCAGUGGGGAAUAUUGGACAAUGGGCGAAAGCCUGAUCCAGCAAUGCCGCGUGAGUGAGGAAGGCCUUAGGGUUGUAAAGCUCUUUCGGCGGGGACGAUGAUGACGGUACCCGCAGAAGAAGCCCCGGCUAACUUCGUGC
rnacentral:rRNA from 1 species